AGCGUUCUGUAAGCCUGUGAAGGUGGCCUGUGAGGGUUGCUGGAGGUAUCAGAAGUGCGAAUGCUGACAUAAGUAACGAUAAAGCGGGUGAAAAGCCCGCUCGCCGGAAGACCAAGGGUUCCUGUCCAACGUUAAUCGGGGCAGGGUGAGUCGACCCCUAAGGCGAGGCCGAAAGGCGUAGUCGAUGGGAAACAGGUUAAUAUUCCUGUACUUGGUGUUACUGCGAAGGGGGGACGGAGAAGGCUAUGUUGGCCGGGCGACGGUUGUCCCGGUUUAAGCGUGUAGGCUGGUUUUCCAGGCAAAUCCGGAAAACCAAGGCUGAGGCGUGAUGAC
rnacentral:rRNA from 1 species